GCACUGCUGAAGAGUCCCAUACUAGGACGAAACGGCCUUCUAGUGC
rnacentral:hammerhead_ribozyme from 1 species